rnacentral:rRNA from 1 species
GACGAACGCUGGCGGCGUGCUUAACACAUGCAAGUCGAACGGAAAGGCCCUGCUUUUGUGGGGUGCUCGAGUGGCGAACGGGUGAGUAACACGUGAGUAACCUGCCCUUGACUUUGGGAUAACUUCAGGAAACUGGGGCUAAUACCGGAUAGGAGCUCCUGCUGCAUGGUGGGGGUUGGAAAGUUUCGGCGGUUGGGGAUGGACUCGCGGCUUAUCAGCUUGUUGGUGGGGUAGUGGCUUACCAAGGCUUUGACGGGUAGCCGGCCUGAGAGGGUGACCGGCCACAUUGGGACUGAGAUACGGCCCAGACUCCUACGGGAGGCAGCAGUGGGGAAUAUUGCACAAUGGGCGGAAGCCUGAUGCAGAAACGCCGCGUGCGGGAUGACGGCCUUCGGGUUGUAAACCGCUUUCGCCUGUGAGGAAGCGUGAGUGACGGUAAUGGGUAAAGAAGCACCGGCUAACUACGUG